UUUGCUGUGUGGACUGUGUGACAGUGUGAAGUCUGUCCCACUUUUGUCCACUUGAUCAACCCUUUUACAUUAUUUAUAUUCCAUACAUUUUGAAGAAAUCCUUUGGACCUUUGUGAAGAAAAAUGGUGCAAAUGAAGCCGAAGAUUAAGAUCGGAAAGAAAGUAGCAGCUGCUCCCAUAGCUGUGAAAAAAGUGGAACAAAAAAGCAGAGGAACCAAUGUUCAGGCGAGGCCGUUCAGCCUGAGCGUUACUUGAGUUGAUUGUCCGCAUCCAGAGAAAGCUGUUCUGUCAAAGAGAUCGAAGGUCCUUCCUCGAAUUAACUGGAUCACGAAAUUCAUCGACACGCCACUAUCCACUAUGUUUAAAAUUUUGGAUAAAUACAGACCUGAGUCCACUGCAAAAAAGAAGAUGCGUCCGCGAAGAGGCCAAAUUAUAUCCGCAAUGGAGCCAACGCUCCAACGAUAUUCGUUGAGCAAAAGAAAGCUCAGCUCGUCGUUAUCGUCCAAGAUGUUACAAGACCUCGACAACAUUGAGGUUAUCCUUUGAUUUGUCAGUCCUUUGUAGAGAUAUGGGAAUUUCUUAUACUGUAUUAUGAAAGGCAAAGCUGGUCUGGGAAGAACUCACCAGUUUAGAAACGUGUACGGCAGUUGCUCUCACACAGGUUGAUUCUGGUGAUAGUCGAAAAGGCUGAAGAACUUGCCCAAAAGCAAAGUUAUACCAUCUCAAGUUGAGUUUUGAACUUUAUCUCCAAUCAAUAAAUAUUUGUGUAUUUUAUUUUGAAUUCGACCUUUGUGCAUUCCUAUUUUCUU